rnacentral:lncRNA from 1 species
AUCGGACAAGCCACGACACAUGUCUUAAUGCUAACAAAGAAACUCUCUCGUCUCUCAAAGUUCUCACCUUUUGAGAACGGAGAUCUUCUUCAUCCUCUCUUUACAGUUUACAUCACUCUCUCACUAACCAUCUUCAAGCUCUCACCUUUUUGUUCCGUCUCUGGAGAAAACCGAACAUAACAUGAGAAAGACAUCUGUUUCAUCUUAUUCUAGCAGCUUCGGUGGUGGGUUUCUAAGCCCCGGAGCUCCUCCGAGCUAUACCGAUAACAACAAAGGAUGGAGCUCCGAGAGAGUUCCACCUCCUUCCUCUUCUUCCAUUUCCACAAUCAAAGCCCCUCGUCGCCGCAUCGGCUCCGCCUCCGCUUUAACGACGCCGCUUUACAGCGGCAGAGCGAUACCGUCGAAAUGGGAAGACGCCGAGCGGUGGAUUUGUAGCCCCGCGGUGACAANNNN